AAAAAGUAUACAAAGAGAUUAUUAUGGAUCCCUAAGCUAUGUAUUAAAGAGCAACAAGACAAUGAUGUAUAAAAUUUAUUGUACAUGGUAAACUCUUAGAUAAAUUAAAUAAUAAACGAAGGCGAAUUGAAAUAUCUUAGUAGCUUCAGGAAAAGAAAUCAAACGAGAUUCUAUGAUUAGUGUGAACGAAAGUAGAUUAGCCUAUAUACUAUAAAGUAUAUUAAUAAGUAAAAUGGACGCAAAUCUGUUUGAAGAUUAAGGGGAACCUUCCUCUAAGGCUAAAUAUAAUACAUAAGCGACAGUGAAAAGUACCGUGAGGGAACGGGAAUUGAAAUAGUAAUUUUAUAAGCAGCUCGAACCAAAAUGAGAGCGUACCUUUUGCAUAAUGGGUCACCAAGUUAACCUUAGAUGCGAGCUAAUCGCGUAGUUAAAACGAUGAUCAAUCAAAUGAAUUAGUGUCUAAAGUUAGACCCGAAGCUAGGUGAUCUUACUACAAUCAGGAGUAUAAAAGUCCGAACCGGUUAUUGUAGCAAAAAUAUCGGAGGAAUUGUGGUAAGUAUAGUGAAAGACAAAACUGACCUAGAUAGCUGGUUUUCUGCGAAACCUAUAAUAGUAGGCAAUUUAAGUAACAUUUUAGCAGGUACAGAACUUCAUCUCAGACAAGGUGUAUUAAAUUUGAUUAAAAGUUUUAGUCGGUUUUACCGCGAACUUUUAGUUAAAUCGACAUCUUACUUUGUACAUAUCGGGGGAUCGUAGAGAUUUUAUCGGUGAGUUUGUAGACUCGAAAUGGCAAAAAUGAAUAUUAAAUUAUCAGACAUAGAAUGAUAAGGUUGUAUGUCAAAAGGGAAACAGCCCAGAACAAGAGUUAAGGUUCCGAAAUUAUUGUUAAGUGAAAUUAAGAAAGUUUUUAUUUAAGUCGACAAGGAGAUGGGCUUAGAAGCAGCCAUAAUUCAAAGACCUCGUAACAGAGCGCUUGUUAAUUUUUAAAGGCAUCGAAAAUUUAACGGAUCUAAACAAUAUACCGAUACCUUGUCCAUAACUGAUUAUAAAUUUAUAUUACAAGACGAUAAGUUUUGAAUUAUAAUCUUUUACUGGGGUAGCAGAACAUUGGGUAAACCUGCAGCAUUCCAUCGUUUUUACGAUGGAUGCGACUCCAUUGGAGAUGAUGAUAAUUAUAUCAUCACAGCAAACUCAAGAGAGAAUGGUGACAUGAGUAACAAAAAAGAAGUUCGAACAUAAGUUCGAACACUCGCCUAAAGCUUAUGGUUUAAUUAAAGUAACGGCCUCUAAGUUUUCACUUCCAAAGGUUGAAACGAUGAGAAAAUCUUAUUACUUAAAUGACAACAUUUUUAAAGUGAAAAGUGUGCAGGAAAAAUUAAGUAAUAUAUCUCUAUAUAUAAGAAAUGACUAUAUAAAGAUGAAAAAAAAACCGUACCUAGAAACUGUGACAAGUAAGCUAGUGUAGUAUACGAAGGCGUAAAUGAGCUAACAAUCAUAAAGGAACUCGGCAAACUAACUUCCGUAACUUAGGGAUAAGGAGGGCUCAUUCGUCCCGUGGGAUCUUUUAUUAUUACGGUAAUAAAAACUACGGGUAAGAAGGAAGAAGCAUGAAAUAUUGUUGUACGACUGUUUAAUUAAAACAAAGCACUUUGCAUACGACUUAAGUCUAAGUAUAGAGUGUGAUUUCUGCCCGGUGCCGGCUGGUUAACGAAAAUAACUAACUUUAAAAAGUUUGGUACUGUAGGAACCCCCGGUUAAUGGCGGCCUUAGCGUGAGGGUCCUAAGGUAGCGGAAUACCUUGACUGUUAAAUGCAGUCUUUGCAUGAAUGAUGUAACGAUACAACAGCUGUCUCUAUGAUUGACUCAGUGAAAUUGGCAUAACUGUGCAGAUACAGUUUACCUCUAGUUAGACGAGAAGACCCUAUGCAGCUUUACUGUUACUAAUUAUUAGGUACGGUUGGGGACAAAUAUCAGCAAAUAAGGUAAUUGAUAAGAUACAAAUGUAAUACCUUUAUUUGGGGAUCGUAUUGUGAGGAUUAUUUAAUCCCCGUCUUUUCUGUAAAAAGAAAAGAAUGUAACCUUAGAAAGGAAAAAUUGCUAGGAGACAGUUUAUGCGGGGCACAGACCCCAUAAAGAGUAAAUGGGUGUGUCCAACUAUGUUUUAUGUUUGUUUAGGCGUUUAUCGCCAAUAGAUGUAUCACUAAAUAAAAUAUUAGCAAAACUAAUAUUUGUUUGUUUGUAAUAGUAGAUAGCACGGCUAUACAGCUAGCUAUAUUCUAUCUUAUUUAUGUAUAGAUGUACAAGCCUAAGUAUAAGAGGCGUGAGUCUCUUAUAUUUAAUAAUUCUUGCUUUUCUGUAAAUAGAUGCUGUUGUUUCAGUAUAGAUUUGCAGGGUAUUAAGGAGGAGAAUUUUUUUUUGUAGGUAGGAUUUAAACUAUUGAGAAAUUAGUCGUAGUUAAGAUGUUACGAGAAGUUUUUUCUAACAUCUUAUUAAUUAUUAUAUAAGGCUUUAAAAUAGCACAUAUAAUAGAUUAUGUAAGAUACUUAUCAAGUUUAAUGGCUAAAUCUUGCCUUACUGUUUGACCACCAACAAGUCUUACAGUCGCGUAAGCGGGGCAUAGGAUCACAAGACACAACAAGGAAAGGUCUUGGAUUUUUGGAAAAGCUACGCUAGGGAUAACAGGCUAAUUUGCGCAAGAGUGUGCAAAAUGAGUGCGCGGUUUGGCACCUCGAUGUCGGCUUAACUUAUCCUCAUGGAUGCAGAAACUAUGUAGGGUACGACUGUUCGUCGAUUAAAAAGUUACAUGAGCUGGGUUAAAUACGUCGUGAGACAGUAUGGUUUCUAUCUUCUAGAGGGAAUUAGAAUAUAAUAAGGAAUAACCUAUGUACGAAAGGAACUUGGAAUAUUAAUUUAUUAAUAUUGAAAUAAUAGAAUUAUUAAUCUCUGGUUUACCUGUUGUUUAUAUGUCCUAAUUUAUAGGACUAUCCUACUUUCACUUAAGUAGUUAUGAUAAUAUAGGCACGGCAGGAAAGCUAUGUUAGUCAAAGAUAAGUGCUGAAAGCAUAUAGGCACGAAGCUUACCUUAAGAUAUUUCUUAAAUAUACGUAAUAGAACAUUACAAACAUAAUAUAAAAGUAGGUUAGCCCUCUUUUUAUUAUGAAGAUAGGCUUUAUUUGUAAGAAUCAAGAGAUUUUAAGGA
rnacentral:rRNA from 1 species